rnacentral:rRNA from 1 species
CCUACGGGAGGCAGCAGUGAGGAAUAUUGGGCAAUGGGCGGGAGCCUGAACCAGCCAAGCCGCGUGAGGGAAGAAGGUACAGCGUAUCGUAAACCUCUUUUGUCAGGGAACAAAGGCGGGGACUAGUCCCCGGAUGAGGGUACCUGAAGAAAAAGCAUCGGAUCAGUCCGUGCCAGCCGCCGGGGUAAUACGGGGGAUGCGAGCGUUAUCCGGAUUUAUUGGGUUAAAGGGGUGCGCAGUGGGCCCGUUAAGUCGGCGGGAAAAGCCCGGGGCUCAACCCCGGCGAGCCUUUGAAACUGGGUGGCUAGAGUUCGAUAGAGGGGCGCGGAAUGCGCGGUGUAGCGGUGAAAUGCUUAGAGAUCGCGCAGAACCCCGAUUGCGAAGGCAGCGUACCGGCUCCACACUGACGCUGAUGCGCGAAAGCGUGGGUAGCGAACAGGAUUAGAUACCCUUGUAGUC